CCUCUCUCCAGGAGGAACCCAGAGGUUAAAGACAGAAGAUAAAUAGAAGUGUAAAAAAGAGGUAGGGGCUUGGCAUACAGGAUCCCACCACAGAGACUUCCCACCCUGGGCUCUGCCUCUCCCCAAAAUGAAAUUUAUACUGCGAAGGACUGUGGGGACCACACAACUUGACAAUCUACGAACACUAAAGUAUUCUGGAAAAUUUUCGGUGUCUCCUUUUAUUUACACAAACAAGUGCACCUCUGUACAUGUGAUAAUCACCAUCACUGUCCUAACAGCUGACACCCAGGAAUUCACAUGCAUUCUAAAAAGCACUUUCCUGCAAAUGGCAAAGCGCUAUUAUAAGCCAUCAUCAAG
rnacentral:lncRNA from 1 species